rnacentral:rRNA from 1 species
CACGUAGGGCGCGAGCGUUGUCCGGAAUUAUUGGGCGUAAAGAGCUCGUAGGCGGCCUGUUGCGUCCGCUGUGAAAGCCCGGGGCUUAACCCCGGGUCUGCAGUGGAUACGGGCAGGCUAGAGGUAGGUAGGGGAGAAUGGAAUUCCCGGUGUAGCGGUGAAAUGCGCAGAUAUCGGGAAGAACACCCGUGGCGAAGGCGGUUCUCUGGGCAGUAACUGACGCUGAGGAGCGAAAGCGUGGGGAGCGAACAGG